ensembl:lncRNA
CUCUGUCCAGUAAGCAGCGAGGACCCAGGUGAUUCACCGUCUGCACGCUGCAGCCCUGGUCCACCUGUUGCAACUUGCCCGCCUGCCAGGAUUCCUCUGCCUGCGAGGCCUCCACCUCUUUCUCAGCUCAUACUUGCAGCUCAGGGUCCUCCGUCACCAGAUGGGAUGGAGGCAUGAGGGGGGCAUUUGGGAACAGAGCACCCAGCUCAGAAGGGCUGGGACUCCUGCACCAGUGGCCACAGCCCUGCUUCACAUCAGCAGCCACAGAAAGCAGAAGCAGCCAGAGCUACAGAAACUCCAUAGGUAUAUACCCUGUAAACACACGUGAAAACUCUGGAUUCUACCUGCCUGGACAGGACUGGCUCAGGAGCCAGUGGCAGUCCUAUUGUGAGUAAGGGGCUUACAGGAUAAGGCCCCAGACAGAACAAAGAAAACACUCCCACCAACUCUCUUGCCAGAAAUGAACUGAAAUUUUCGGAGAGGUGCGUGAGCCAAAAUUCUCAGGGAGAAGUCCUAGAAGACUGUCCAUCAGGUGAGAAAAUGUAGGCAAAAUGUAACAUGUAAAAUGAUGAACCAGAAAAUCAUCCACCCAGCCUGCACCCAGCUAUGUCUUAAUGAGGCAAACUCCAAAGAAGCUUUUCCUUUAAUCUGGCAUUUGAAACGAAAUGCUGCUAAGAAGCCCCCACCUCACCCACCCCACCCUUACGUGUUGCCAUGACGACCCAAGUUCUUAGGACUUGAAAGAACUACCUCAGCAUUUCCCUCUAAAACAAAAGAAAAUUAUUCCAGGUUUCUGGGCAGAGAACUCCGAGGAAUUGGGCCCUGUUACUGGAUAGCAGGUUCCUCAGAGUUGCCGAGUGAUGAAAUAUGAGCCUACGGGGACCAGGGCCUUCAGAAAAGCGAGGAAGGAAACGGGGGAUGACAGGAACCCAGGGCUCGCCCCAGCUUGUGGAGCCCAUGCUCUGCCUCAUUGCUGGCUCUCCCCCCUCAGCUGGGCCUCAUUUGCCCCUGCAGUGAAGCGCUUUAAAAGAAAACACAUCCUCUCUCCAUAUGGAAAGGGGCGAGGGUUAGAGAGGAGCAGGUCCUGGCUCAGGGGAUCCCAGGCAGGCAGCAGAAGAUGCCGUCUCGUGCUCCCCAGCUUGAUUUGCUCACGAAAUGGCCAAGGUGGGGCCAACCUGUUGCAUGUCUAAAAAGCCCCUCCAAAGCGCCCCUUGAAAGCUUAUAGUCCUGCUAAUGAGGGCCAAUCUAAGUCUUCUGGAUCCAGUAAGCAAAGCCCAGGAGGUGAUGGCCGGACAGCCAACCUGCUCCCAUGAAGUUCCCUCUCGUGCCAGAGCUUCAAGCCAAAAACUGAGGCCUUGACACUUUCCUAUCCAAUUGCUGAUCACAUCUUGAGUCUACUUCCUAAAAAUUCCUCAAAUCCAUCCACAUCUUCCUCUCUCCAUGGCUGUUGUCUUGAUUCAGGCCUCACCAUCUCUAAUCUGAAAUGGUACUUCCAGGUCAGCUGCACGCCAGGGCUAGAAGGGUUUAUAGACACAAAUCUAAACUUGUCACUUCCUGCCUAAAAUCCUUCAGUGCUCCUCCUGCCUUUAGGAUAAGUUAUCAAAUUCCUCAGGAAGAUAUGCAAGGUCUUUCAUGAUGGACAGCUGUCAGCCCAGUUUACUCCACACUCCAGCCAUAAAGAACACAGUUCCCCCAUCUACAUGCUUUUCUACACCUACCCUUCCCUAACCCAAUGUGCUGGAUAAGACCUGCUGGCGCCUCCAGAUUCACUCUGCAUCCUGCUCUGUGCCCCAGAGGCUGCCCUAUAUGGAUCCCAUAAGCGAACUCCGGGCCCUAUAGCUUCCAAUUGGGUUUAGCCAACAGGAAGCACCAGGAGCAACUGUAACACAGGAGAGUGUGAAGCCAGGGUAGUUACUCCCUCCCUGGACAGUCCUAUAAGGCUGCCUGCUCCCAGAUGGAGGGCCAUUCCUUCUAUCGAGGCAGAGUCAUCUGCAGGACUUUUCUUCUGUGGUACAGAGACCCCCCUCCUCAUUUCUUCUGGCCUAGGGGUUGCUGCUAGUCUGUGUUUCUGUGAUAUUUUAUAAUGUUCCUCCACCCUCUACCCACACUCUUGCAAAUAACCCCUCUAUAUGUAAACCCUCCUCAAAUUAUCUUAACUUAGUGUGCUAUCAUUCCCUGUUGGGACCCUGCCUAUUAGAGUCAUCCUUUGUCUUUGCUAAAUUUCUGUGGAGACAACAUCUCCUCCAGGAAUGCUUCCCUCUUCUUCCCAAUCUUCGUCAGCUGCCCUGCCCCCUUGGGCUCCCAGAUCCUCUGUAUAGUUCACUGUUACAGCUCGUUCCAUACUUCAUUGCAAAAGCCAGUCCUCUGUGCACAACUACUAGAGCUGCAACUACUGAGCCCAUGUGCACAGCUACUGANNNNNNNNNNNNNNNNNNNNNNNNNNNNNNNNNNNNNNNNNNNNNNNNNNNNNNNNNNNNNNNNNNNNNNNNNNNNNNNNNNNNNNNNNNNNNNNNNNNNNNNNNNNNAGCAACGGUGAAGACUCAGCACACCAGAAACAAACAAACAAACAAAUUAUAGAUAGAUGGAUAUAGAUAUAUUCUAAAAAGCCAGUCCUCUGUCCUAAAUCUGAGUCUCUGGAGGUUGGGGACCAUGUGUUACUGCUUAUCCUUGCACCUCAGUAUCUGGUACAAAGCUAGCCCUCAGAAAACAUUUGCUGAACGAAGGAAAGAAGCAGGAGCUCAGAGUAAGACCUGCCAAAGACACGCAGGAAACACAGUGCAGCAUCUGUGGUACCCACUGAAGGAGCUGGCUUCUCCCAGGCCACCAUCAGUUAGAUCACAGGCAAGGACUUGAAGAAAAGCUAGUAUUUAAAGAACACCCCAUAUCCAGGGCCUGAGGCCCACAUCAGUGAGUAUGGGGAAAGAAUGAGGGAGAUGCUCUGGUUCGUGUGUUAGCAGUCGCGCUUCCUGAGGAAAAAGAAUGGCCAGCUUUUCUCAGCCCCAGGGAAACAAUGGAACUCUCCGUCCUUGAGCUGGGAGUCCUAUGAUCCUGGUAUCAACCACUGGGAGAUUCACACCAACUUCAGUUUAAUUCAGUCGCUCAGUCCUGCCCAACUCUUUGCAACCCCAUGGACUGCAGCACGCCAGGCCUCCCUGU